GUUCUUUUACGACGGAGCCUAAGAUAUUCUUUGUCUUGUCGAGUCACCGAAAGAGACAUCCUAUUAUAUGCACGUUCACAAGGACAAUGGCGCCAUUGUUCUUCGCGUCUUCAAAGCAGCUACAAGAAGAAACCAAGAUGGAGGGGAGCCCAAAGCAUCUGAGAGAAUUGAUAAAUGAAAGAAACAUGCUUAAAACAUGACCGUUUUAAAGGUGAAUGCUGACCAGUGAGAUGCCAGCCUGCGUGUGAAGAUCCUACAGCAGAAGUGCAUGGCCAGUGACACAAGAACUUGCGAGAGAUGCCAGUCCGCCUGUGAAGAUCCUGCAGCAGGAGUGCAUAGCCAGUGACACAAGACGUGCGAAUGAAAACUAGAUGUGACCAUCCAGAAAAAGCAUAGACAAAAAAAUGCAGUCUUAGUACUGGGAUGUUUGAGAUGGGGUCUAUCUACAUGUCUCUAGCUGUCCCUAUCAGGACAGCAUCUGGUGUGGCCUGCAGAGUUGAUUCCUGUACUUUUUUUUUUUUGUGGGCUGUAUGUAAAUGGAUUGUUUUGACAAUCCAUUCGACAGUGUUCUCUUCUGUGAAGGUCAUAGGUGAGCUGAUUGACAGACACAGCUGUACAGACUGAAUGCAAUCCUGACUAUAAAGCUGCAGUUCAUCAUUAUGAGCUAUUUCCUUAUUCUGGCAGUGAUUGAAAUAAAAUGGGGAGUAUUGAAAUAAAAAACAUUCAAUUGCAAA
rnacentral:lncRNA from 1 species